rnacentral:rRNA from 1 species
GACGAACGUUGGCGGCGUGCUUAACACAUGCAAGUCGAACGGAGUGGCGAACGGGUGAGUAACAAGUGGGUGAUCUGCCUUGCACUUCGGGAUAAGCUUGGGAAACUGGGUCUAAUACCGGAUAGUGCAAGAUGAGCUCGCGGCCUAUCAGCUCGUUGGUGGGGUAAUGGCCUACCAAGGCGUCGACGGGUAGCCGGCCUGAGAGGGUGUACGGCCACAUUGAGACGGAGAAACGGCCCAGGCUCCUACGGGAGGCAGCAGUGGGGAGUAAUGCACAAUAGGCGGGAGCCUAAUACCACGACGCUGCGUGGGAGAUGAAGGCCUUCGGGUUGUGAACUGCUUUCGACAGGGACGCGGUACCUGUAUAAGAAGCACCGGCUAACUACGUGCCAGCAGCCGCGGUAAUAC